GCUCAGAACGAACGCUGGCGGCAAGCUUAACACAUGCAAGUCGAACGGAUUUUUAUCAUAGCUUGCUAUGAUAAAAAUUAGUGGCAGACGGGUGAGUAAUGCAUAGGAAUCUACCUAGUAGUAUGGGAUAGCCACUAGAAAUGGUGGGUAAUACUGUAUAAUCCCUGCGGGGGAAAGAUUUAUCGCUAUUAGAUGAGCCUAUGUUAGAUUAGCUAGUUGGUAGGGUAAAGGCCUACCAAGGCAGUGAUCUAUAGCUGGUCUGAGAGGAUGAUCAGCCACACUGGAACUGAGAUACGGUCCAGACUCCUACGGGAGGCAGCAGUGGGGAAUAUUGGACAAUGGGCGCAAGCCUGAUCCAGCUAUGCCGCGUGAGUGAGGAAGGCCUUAGGGUUGUAAAACUCUUUCAGUGGGGAAGAUAAUGACGGUACC
rnacentral:rRNA from 1 species